rnacentral:tRNA from 1 species
UACAAUUUAGUAUAGGAUGUACUUAAGUUUUUGAUACUUAGAGAGGUAGAUUGAUCUACUAAUUGUAA